GGGGGACUUCCUGUUUAUGAGAAUCACAAGGACCCCUGGGGCGGCGCCUGGGACAGGACUCCCGGGCAGCAGCCCCUCUAGCCCAGACCUCAGUCCCUCCCCCGAGAGGCCCCACGCUGCUAGCUCAGACCCAGGCCACUGCCCUCCCCCUACACUGGGGAAGGCGAGAAGGGAGGAGGAGUGAGGAGUCUUUGGAAUGGCCAGGAAUGUGGGAGUCCAACGUCCCGAACGUCCGCAGGAAGCAUCCGUGGCUCCAGGGCACAGCCCCCUCCAAGUCUGGAUGACACGCCCCAUUCUCUUCCCCCAACCGUAGGGCCCUCCCUUUGCUUGGAUAGGGGAGGGCUGUGGGAGCCGGGAGGGAGGAGGCCAGACCCCAUCCUGCCUUGCGGGGGCCACAAGACUUCAGCUCUGGCUUGACCAGCCUCUGGCAGCCACAGUCUCUCAUCUGUGGGCAAGGGCCACGGGCCAGCAACUCCGUCAGCCUUCUUUUUCCUUCACCGUCUCCGGAGGGUGGGGCGGGGGCUGCCUGGAGGCUCAGGACCACUGGAGAGACCUCAGACCAAGACAAGUCUUCAACACCUCACAGAAUCCCUCCAUGUUCCAAGUCCCAGGUCCGAGCAGGGCACAGGUGCCACCGGGGGUCAGGUGGAGGGGAGGAGCUGGCCAAAGUUGCCCCUCAGGAAGCAAACAGCCCUGCCCUCCUCCCCCACCAGUCAGCCUCUCCCAAUCUGUCCUUUGGUUGCCCAACAGGUAUUGACCCAGGGCCUGGAGGUCACGGCCAGGGGAAGAGGCAGGGCAGGGAGACUGGCCCUGUCCCUCUUGCCCUCCCUCCCUAACCCAGAAGGAGGUGAGCGACACCUGUCCUCUGUCUCUGCCAGACGCCCCCUUCCCGGCCAGCUUAGAGUACCUGGAGAUAUGGAUCCUUCAGCCACAAGGUCAUGACUAUUUGAGGCAGUCAUCCUCUAGACAGUGGUGCGGGCACGGAGAAGCCAGCUAACCCAGAGCCGGCAGUCAGGAAGGGCUUCCUGGAGGAGGCCGCCUCUCAACGUGGAAGUCUACCAUCAGGCAGGAAACGGUGUGCCUGACCCGGGAACCAGUCUGGUCAAAGGCACUGCCCUUCUAGCGACAUGAUGGGUCCGGAGAAAGGAGCAGGGCAGCGGGGAGCUAUGGAAGGCUUUUGAGCAGCGGAGUGACAAGAUAGAUCGAAGCACCGAGAGCGUUGAUAGACUGGAGGACCCGCUUGGGGCAGGAAGACCAGCGAGGAGGUGGCACAAGGGUCUGCAUUCCGCGGUGGUUUUUCAAGGGGCCGUCACAGAGGCCGCACGCUCCCUAGGCAGCAAGAGGGGCCCCGCCAAGCUCCUGCCCGGAGAACCCCACUCAGCCUCAAGCCGCCGUAGCUUUGAACUGUGUCUGCGAAUCGAUGCUUUGUCUGGAUUUCUUUGGUUUGGCAAUGGUGAAUGGAGCUGCGCAGAUGUCCGUGCUCGGGUUUUCGUGUGGACUCACAUUUUCAACUCCUCUCGGAACUGGCUCGUGGUGAGACUUCACUCGAAAAAGUGGUUUCCACUUCACCUCCAGGGGGUUGGCUAGAAUUAAACUUACUGCCGCCUGUGUUGGUGGGGAUGUGGAACUCACUCGUGUGGCAAGACUGCCUGGCGGGUGGCCGGGGACGGAACAGAGGCCCCUCCCUGUGACCGAGCAAGCUCACCCUCCAGUAGGAAUCCGGCAGAAGCGCCUGGAUGCGUGUCGCGCGAGAAGUGGCCCCGAAUGUCCACAGCGGCGGCCGUCGGACAGCGCCCCCAACGGAUCUACCGCGAUGCGCGCCCGACGGUAUAGUCCCACGAGGGAAUUCUCUUCCGGAGCAAGAACAAUCUACAGGCGCAUGUGCCCGCAUGGAAGGUUCUCUCUGACACGCGGUGACCGAAAGACUCCAGGGACUAAAGAGCAGACGCCGGGUGCUUCCAUUCGCGUGAAGGACAAAAAUCGUUGGAACGAAUCCCUGGUGACGGACGACGGAAGAGUUGUUGCCUCUGGAGGUGGUCUUGACCGGGCCAUUGGAAACGCUCCGUCUCUUGGUUUGGGUCGUGGUCACCUGGGUGAACACCUAAGGGAAAAAUCGACUGAGUGUUUGCUCAGGAUCUGUGCCCCUUAGUGUGUUUUAUACCUCAACCUGUGUAUUCGGAACCACCAUGUAGGAAGCUGGCUGUCCUGAAGCCACCGUGCUGUGGAGACAGACUGUGCAGGGAGACCGCAGGUGGAGACGCCCGAGGGGCCCCAGCUGUCCAGCCUCUUCCACCCUUUCGUCUGUCCCAGCUGAUGCCACGUGAGCAGAGACCAGCUAUAGGUUCGCAAACUAAACAAGCUGGCUGCUGUUUAUGUGGGGGUGGGUUGAUAUGCGCCAAUAGGCAACUGGAACACCUAGUGACUUCAUUCCUCAGGGCUCCCUCCAGGCCCUCUCUGCUCUACUCAUGCCAGCUGCACCCGGGCACACUCAGUUCCUUGCUGCGGGAGCCAGCUCCCCAGUCUGUGCGCACAAAUCUGCUCCACUCUCCCAGGCUCAGCCUCUGCCCUGCCUCCUCCGGGAAGCCUUCCUCUCUGCAGCGUUGGACAGUGUUGAUAAGCAAGCUGAUGAUAAUGGGGGGAGGUGGGGGGGUAUAUGGGAAAUCUCCGUACCUUCCACUCAGUUAAAAAAUUUUUUUUCCUAAUGUUUUAUUUAUUUUUGAGACAGACAGAGCAUGAG